UGAGAGAAGGAGGGAGACUGGUGGCCUUUAAAGGAAAAGACUCAGAGAUUUGAACGGUUGCCAGGCGGCCUCCAGGAAGAAGCAGCUGGGAGAAGCAGGACGGCACUGGACGCUUGGCAGAGAAAGACCCUGGGCAAGAGACUGGGGGUAAAGAUUUGGAGAUGAAAUAGCAAAGCGCUGAUCUAACUCAGGGCUGGCCCAAGCUGUUCCCAAGAGGGGCCCCUCAUCUUUACGAGAAUCUCUUGAGUGUCUGACUGUCUCGCUUGAUGCAGACCCAGGGUUGUAGUAGUGGCUACAUUUAUCCCAAAACAAUGAAAAGCCAACCACAAAGUUCCCCCAGCUCCCAGCCAUGCUGACACGGAAGGGAGAGGCUGUGGAAGAUGGCACUGGAUGUCCGAUGGCCCAGCCUGGUGGUGAAGGAUGUCACUUCUGCCUAUAUUCCGUUUCCCGCACUCAAUCAUGUGGUCCACGCCAUGCUGCACAGGCAGUUUGAGGAUGUGGUCUUCCCACCUGGCCAAGAUAAGGGAUGGGAAAAACUCUGGUAACAACAAGGGUCCCUGGAGAAGCCAGUCGGGGUAUCAGUGAUGGAGGGCCCAGAAAUUGUUGAGGAAUAUACUCUCUGCACAGCCAAGCCCGUUAGGAGAGACCGGCCCAUCCCCAGCUCCAGGUGGUAGAUUCCAGUUUGUCUAAAUUAGUCCAGUUCUCCUUGCUGGUGAUGGGGUUAGGCACAGACAGGUGACAAAAGCUUUUCUGGAUAUUGCUAUGCCAGAAUAUAGUGCCUGCAAGUGCUUUAUCUACCUAGCAAACUUGAGAGGCGCUAGCCCAAGGACAAAACUGAUACAGAGACAGGGAAGAGCCAAAAGAGACCCAAAGAAGCAGAGCUGUCACAAUUUGAGACUCCUUGUUAUGUGGAACAAUAGAUGCCCUUAUUGAUUAUGCCUUUCAAGUCAGGUUUCCAUCAUUUGUUGCCGAAAUCUUCCAGAUACGAUGACAUAUCUAGAGUGAUCAGGCACGGACAACAUCACCCUCUGGGAAGCUUUGUGACCUCAACAAGCACGAAAAGAUCAGCCAGGCUUUUUAGAAGAAUUCUGAGCUUGAAUCUUCGGUCAACUCUAGAAGCUGCUAAUGGUAGUUUGCUAACACCAAAUUCUGUGAAUCCUGAUAACUCCCUUAUUAAGCUACUGCUAAGGCGCCCUUCCAAGUGCGUGUAAAAUGAAGGUUUCAGAGGCAAAGGAAGGACAUCCAUUUUGGGACCAGGUCUCGGCAGAGAGUGGAAUCUAAACAACAAUUUGGAAACACCACUGCCCUAAAAAUAACUGGGGAUAUCCCACUAUGGUGGAGGGGCUGGCGGGUAACGUUUCCCACAAUAAGAAUUCCCGGUGAUAGCUAACCUGCUAUUUGUUGAAUAUGAGCUACAGCUAAAACACACUGCUAAAUGCUAACUACCAGGGGACAGUUUAUUAUCGUGAUGGCGAUUUAUAAGAGACUCUCAUAAACUCACUCGCGCUCAGAACGCACAGACCAGUGAAAAGUUCUUCCCCGCUCCUCUCCUGAUAGCUACGUGUAGACUUUCCCCCAGACGCUUGUCAACAUUCUUCAUUAAAAAUUUGGAUUCUCUCAUCAAAGCCAGCAGUCUGUUCUCUUUGAUUGCCCGUAAACCAGUGGUACUGUUUCAUUCUUUCUUUGUAUUCUCUCUGAAGAGAGUUGGUGAAAAUUUACAUAAUUUUAAUUGAAAGAUAGUUAGUCAUCAUGUGUGGGAAGGAAACGGCUGCCUAGAGUGGGUCUGGGACCCCGGGAAGCUGUCCUGUGCUCUUUUCCUUUGCUGUGCUGGCUUCUUCUCUGUGCUUUAACAUAAAACGUUUGUGAAACGAACCAAAAACGAAGUUGAGAAUUCAUCUUGU